ACAAGCCAUUGAUCGGUACGGGUUGUGAGAGCAAGAGCCCGGAGAUGGAUUCUGAGACACGAAUCCAGGCCCUACGGGGCGCAGCAGGCGCGAAAACUUUACAAUGCGAGAAAUCGUGAUAAGGGAACCCCGAGUGCCCGUAAAUUCGGGCUGUCCGCCAGUGUAAAUAACUGGUGAAGAAAGGGCCGGGCAAGACCGGUGCCAGCCGCCGCGGUAAUACCGGCGGCUCGAGUGGUGGCCACUAUUACUGGGCUUAAAGCGUCCGUAGCUGGAUUGUUAAGUCUCUUGGGAAAUCCACCGGCUCAACCGAUGGGCGUUCAGGAGAAACUGGCAAUCUAGGGACCGGGAGAGGUGAGAGGUACUCCAGGGGUAGGAGUGAAAUCCUGUAAUCCUUGGGGGACCACCUGUGGCGAAGGCGUCUCACUAGAACGGCUCCGACAGUGAGGGACGAAAGCUGGGGGAGCAAACCGGAUUAGAUACCCGGGUAGUCCCAGCUGUAAACGAUGCGCGUUAGGUGUAUCGGUGACCACGAGUCAUCGAGGUGCCGAAGGGAAACCGUGAAACGU
rnacentral:rRNA from 1 species